rnacentral:lncRNA from 1 species
GAAUUAAGACACUUGCAGAAACAUGCAGAAACCACAAACAUAGUGAGGCUGUGAAAUGCGAGUGACAGACACAGAACAUAGGAAGAAAUGCCACGACUAAACAUGUACCUUCUUAUCCUGCUUUACUCUGCUCACAUAGCUGAGUCCAGCGAAAGGAUUGAUCUGUCUGUUGAUCCUCCAUGGACAGACGUGUUGACUGGAGAUACAGUCACCUUCACUUGUGAGAUCACAGGGACUGACCCCGGCAUUUUGUGGGAAUAUUCAUGGUUUAAGCGUGAUGGAAAUGGUGGAGAACAAGCUUUGCUGUCCACCAGCUCCAGCGAAGGCUCAUCUAAAUACACCAUGACCAAGGUGAAAAAUGCAGACAGCGCACAGUAUUGGUGUACAGCAAAGACAGGAAAUCAGACAUUCAACAGUUCACUGCACACG